AGCACUUCAAUUCUUAAGCUGAGAACAUAUAAGAUAGAGUAAUCAAUCAUGCCAUUUGGUUUGGUCUCACUCUCGGCCUGGAACAAGCGCCGUAGAAGCAAAUCUCAAGAUCAUACAGAUCCCUGGGUUUACAAACCUGCACAGCUUUGGCAACUUGAAGAUCAAACACCACGACCUACAAAAAGGCUACAUGGAUCAUCUGUUUACACACUCAAGGAGAUGGAGGAGGCAACAUGUUCAUUCAGUGAUGAGAAUCUGCUUGGAAAAGGAGGAUUUGGCAAAGUCUAUCGGGGCACUUUGCGGUCAGGAGAGGUUGUAGCAAUCAAGAAAAUGGAGUUGCCAGCAAUUAAAGCAGCUGAGGGGGAACGCGAGUUUCGAGUCGAAGUUGACAUCUUGAGCAGACUUGACCACCCAAAUCUUGUUUCUUUGAUAGGCUACUGUGCUGAUGGAAAGCAUAGAUUCCUAGUAUAUGAAUAUAUGCGUAAAGGGAACCUGCAGGAUCAUUUGAAUGGAAUUGGGGAAAGAAACAUGGAUUGGCCUCGAAGACUCCAAGUGGCACUGGGAGCUGCAAAAGGACUUGCUUAUCUCCAUUCAAGUUCUGAUGUUGGAAUUCCUAUUGUUCAUAGGGAUUUCAAAUCGACCAAUAUUCUCUUAGACGAUAACUUUGAAGCAAAGAUAUCUGAUUUUGGACUCGCGAAGUUAAUGCCAGAAGGGCAAGAGACACAUGUGACUGCCAGAGUGCUUGGUACCUUUGGCUAUUUUGAUCCCGAGUAUACAUCGGUAUGCAUCUAUGCCAUGAAGAGUUUUUUCUCUAAAAAAAAUUUCACAUUUUCAAUUUUCAACACCUUUAAAUAAGGUUAUAUUCAUUCUUGAAGAUAAAAAAAGAGAUUUGCAAUGCAGUAUACAGUAAAUCUAAUAAGUUCUUUUGCAAUUAUUCCCGUGCACAUGAUGUAAGCAGCUUCACAUGCUAAAAAUCAAGAAUCCAUUGUUGCUACCAAAGUAGGUUACAUGCACAAUAUACCCAACUUUUCAACUUCCUUUCAUCUCAUGCAUACUUAUUUAACUUGUGAAUAUGGACAUCUUAAUCUAGAGCAAGAUUUAUCAAUGGUUGAACAACACCAAUGAAGUACAUACUAGUACCUGUUUUGUUAGUUUAGUCUACCAUAAAAUAAAUCACCCAAGCAAAUUAAGCCAGCAAAUUCAACACCAACUCAAGCACCAAUAAUAGCCUAAAGCUUGAAAUUUUGGUUUGCAUUAGAAGCCUAUGGCUGAAAUUCCGUCCAAUUACUAAUAAGUCCUUCAGUUUCCUUAUAUGGUUUAUUAGGUUAUCAGUAAAUGAUUCAAGAAUUUUUUGUUAUAACUAGGAGCCCACCAUGAGACUUAGUGAGAAGUUAUUUGAUUUAAACAUUUUUGGCCAUGAAAACAAUUUUAGGCCUUUAUUUAAUAGCUUGUGCUUUUAGAUCAAGUGGUUUCAUGGUAUCAGGAACUGACUGAUAGAUACUGUGGCCAAGAGCUCAACCCAUACCAUCCAUGGACAUGGUCUAGUAACUAACAUUCCAAACUGGGAAACUCACUCUACAGAGUGAUGUUUAUGCUUUUGGUGUUGUUCUUUUGGAGCUUUUGACUGGACGUCGAGCUGUAGAUCUAAACCAAGGUCCCAACGAUCAAAACCUUGUACUACAG